rnacentral:lncRNA from 1 species
AUGAGGCCCUGCAACUCCCUGGCCUGCAGCCAGCAGCCACACCAGUUCCUGCGUUGCAGUCAGGUCAGUCAUGUCACGCUCAGAGCCCAGCUCAGUCGUGUCAUUCUCAGAGCCCAGCUCAGUCAAGUCAUGCUCAGGUUCCAGCCCAGUCAAGCCGUUCCUGUUCCUGUCGGCUCCACGGAGGACGCCGUUCCUGUUCUUGCCGCAGUUCCAGGAGGAGGUCGCGCCUGCUCCAGCUUUGGUUCCUGUCGACCUCCAGGAGAAGGUCGUUGCAGCUCCAGCUUUGGUUCCUGUCGACCUCCAGGAGGAGGUCAUUCCAGCUCCAGCUUUGGUUCCUGUCGGCCUCCAGGAGGCGAUCGUUCCAGCUUCUGUUCCUGUCGGCCUCCAGGAGGAGGUUCCGGGCUUCGGGAACACCAGCCAAGGGACCGCUCCUGGAGCUCCGGGUGGUCCGGUAGAGACCACGUCCUCUUUCAUCCCGGUGAGCCCGGACUGGUUCAGGGCAGCCCGGAGCCUGGGGUUUCCUUGGACACAGGAGCCUGCGGAGACACGUUCAUCUCUGCUCUUUGUGGUCCGGCUACGUCUGCCUCUAAACCUGGUGGCCCGGCACGGGUCACGUCCGCAGAUGCAGCUCCUGGUGGCCCGGCACGGGUCACGUCCGCAGAUGCAGCUCCUGGUGGACCGGCACGGGUCACGUCCGCAGAUGCAGCUCCUGGGGGUCCGGUCACGUCCGCAAAUGCAGCUCCUGGUGGUCCGGUCACAUCCGCAGAUGCAGCUCCCAGUGGUCUGGCACCGGCCACGCCUGCAUCGGUUCCUGGUGGCCCGGCACCGGCCACGCUUGCAUCGGUUCCUGGUGGCCCGGCACCGGCCAUGCCUGCAUCGGUUCCUGGUGGCCCGGCACCGGCCACGCCUGGUGGUCCUGUCGGGACCACGUUUGCCCCGGCUCCUGUUGGUCCAGCGUCAGCUGCGUCCAUCCCGGCUCCGCGUAUGGUUUCGUCUCCACGCCGGUCCUCGUCUCUGGUCCUGGUACCAACGUCACGUCCGUCUCGGACUCGUAUUCCGGCCUGGUGGCCUCGCCCUCAGCGCCUCCUGCCGUUUGGGUGGCGCUCCCUCAUUCAGCGCCAUCCGCCUCGGCUCCGCUGUCGUCACGGCCGCUCCCCUGGGGAUCGUCCCCUCCCGCCUACCGUUCCAGCCCAGCGGCUGCUGGGUUGGGAGAAUCUCCUGCUACCGCCCUCCACGGGAGGGGGUUUCUGA